CCUACGGGAGGCAGCAGUGGGGAAUAUUGCACAAUGGGGGAAACCCUGAUGCAGCAACGCCGCGUGAAGGAAGACGGUUUUCUGAUUGUAAACUUCUAUCAAUAGGGAAGAAAGAAAUGACGGUACCUAAAUAAGAAGCCCCGGCUAACUACGUGCCAGCAGCCGCGGUAAUACGUAGGGCGCAAGCGUUAUCCGGAUGUACUGGGUGUAAAGGGAGAGUAGGCGGCAAGGUAAGCGAUAUGUGAAAGCCUUAAGCUUAACUUAAGGAUGGCAUAAGAAACUAUCUUGCUAGAGUACAGGAGAGGAAAGCGGAAUUCGUAGUGUAGCGGUGAAAUGCGUAGAUAUUAGGAAGAACACCAGUGGCGAAGGCGGCUUUCUGGACUGAAACUGACGCUGAGGCUCGAAAGCGUGGGGAGCGAACAGGAUUAGAUACCCGAGUAGUC
rnacentral:rRNA from 1 species